rnacentral:tRNA from 1 species
CUUCUAAAGGAUAACAGCUCAUCCAUUGGUCUUAGGAACCAAAAACUCUUGGUGCAAAUCCAAGUAGCAGCU